rnacentral:lncRNA from 1 species
GGGCUUGGGUAUCAAGGAGUAGAGAUAUACAAUCACUUUCAGUCGGGUCCACGCCAUAGCCCUCCUCAAAAUCCGACACAGAUCACUUGAUCUGCAAGAAGCGAUCUUUCAUCAAUCCGGCCAUUUACACAAUCCUUCACAAUUUUCGAGCGGUAGAAGCUUUUAUAUGAUGAAUGGGACCUGCAAACUGGGAGGGAGGACAGCUGGUUCGCCUUGCCUACUAUUGCAGCA